CCUACGGGUGGCAGCAGUGAGGAAUAUUGGUCAAUGGACGCAAGUCUGAACCAGCCAUGCCGCGUGCAGGAAGACGGCUCUAUGAGUUGUAAACUGCUUUUGUACGAGGGUAAACGCAGAUACGCGUAUCUGUCUGAAAGUAUCGUACGAAUAAGGAUCGGCUAACGCCGUGCAAGCAGCCGCGGUAAUACGGAGGGUUCAAGCGUUUUCCGGAUUUAUUGGGUUUAAAGGGUGCGGAGGCGGACGGAUAAGUUAGAGGUGAAAUCCCGGGGCUCAACUUCGGAAUUGCCUCUGAUACUGUUCGUCUAGAGAGUAGUUGAGGUAGGCGGAAUGUAUGGUGUAGCGGUGAAAUGCUUAGAGAUCAGACAGAACACCGAUUGCGAAGGCAGCUUACCAAGCUACUUCUGACGUUGAAGCACGAAGGCGUGGGUAUCGAACAGGAUUAGAUACCCUAGUAGUC
rnacentral:rRNA from 1 species